UAGUAAGCGCGAGUCAUCAUCUCGCGUUGAUUACGUCCCUGCCUUUGUGCACACCGCCCGUCGCUCCUACCGAUUGAACGUGCUGGUGAAGCGUUAGGACUGGAACUUUGGGCCGGUUUCCUGCCCAUCGUUUCGGGAAUUUCGUUGAACCCUCCCGUUUAGAGGAAGGAGAAGUCGUAACAAGGUCUCCGUAGGUGAACCUGCGGAGGGAUCAUUGAAACCGAUCAAACCAAUCCCACAGAACUUGCAGGCUUCGGCCCGCCGUAUA
rnacentral:rRNA from 1 species